rnacentral:rRNA from 1 species
AGUGAACGCUGGCGGCAGGCCUAAUACAUGCAAGUCGAACGGCAGCACAGCAGAGCUUGCUCUGUGGGUGGCGAGUGGCGGACGGGUGAGGAAUACAUGGGAAUCUGCCCAGUCGUGGGGGAUAACGUAUGGAAACGUACGCUAAUACCGCAUGCGCCCUACGGGGGAAAGCCGGGGACCGCAAGGCCUGGCGCGAUUGGAUGAGCCCAUGUUCGAUUAGCUAGUUGGCGGGGUAAAGGCCCACCAAGGCGACGAUCGAUAGCUGGUCUGAGAGGAUGAUCAGCCACACUGGAACUGAGACACGGUCCAGACUCCUACGGGAGGCAGCAGUAGGGAAUAUUGGACAAUGGGGGCAACCCUGAUCCAGCCAUGCCGCGUGAGUGAAGAAGGCCCUCGGGUUGUAAAGCUCUUUUGUCCGGAAGAAAAGCAAUCGGUUAAUACCCGGUUGUUCUGACGGUACCGGAAGAAUAAGCACCGGCUAACUUCGUGCCAGC